rnacentral:rRNA from 1 species
AGCUCCAAUAGCGUAUAUUAAAGUUGCUGCAGUUAAAAAGCUCGUAGUUGGAUUUCUGGUUUGAUGUGCCUGUCCCGCCACGGUAACGUGUGUGAGUGACGGUGUACGUCUGCCAUCCUUCUAGAUUCGGCAGGUUACUCUUAACUGAGUGGUCUGUCUGUUCUAGAUCUUUUACUUUGAAAAAAUUAGAGUGUUUCAAGCAGGCUUUUGCUAUGAAUACAUUAGCAUGGAAUAAUGAGUUAGGACUUCGGUUCUAUUUUGUUGGUUUCUAGGGCUGAAGUAAUGAUUGAUAGGGACAGUUGGGGGUGCUAGUAUUCAGUGCGAAGAGGUGAAAUUCUUGGAUCCACUGAAGACUAACUUAUGCGAAAGCAUUCACCAAGGAUGUCUUCU